CCUACGGGAGGCAGCAGUGGGGGAUAUUGCACAAUGGGGGGAACCCUGAUGCAGCGACGCCGCGUGGGUGAAGGAGUAUUUCGGUAUGUAAAGCCCUAUCGGCAGGGAAGAAGCAAGACGGUACCUGACUAAGAAGCCCCGGCUAACUACGUGCCAGCAGCCGCGGUAAUACGUAGGGGGCGAGCGUUAUCCGGAUUCACUGGGUGUAAAGGGAGCGUAGACGGCCAUGCAAGCCAGGGGUGAAAGCCCGGGGCCCAACCCCGGGACUGCCCUUGGAACUGCAUGGCUGGAGUGCGGGAGGGGCAGGCGGAAUGCCUGGUGUAGCGGUGAAAUGCGUAGAUAUCAGGAGGAACACCGGCGGCGAAGGCGGCCUGCUGGACCGCGACUGACGUUGAGGCUCGAAAGCGUGGGGAGCGAACAGGAUUAGAUACCCCGGUAGUC
rnacentral:rRNA from 1 species